rnacentral:rRNA from 1 species
UACAGAGACCUCAAGCGUUAUCCGGAAUCAUUGGGCGUAAAGCGUACCGAUAGGUGGUUUUACAAGUCAGAAGUGAAAUCUCUCAGCUUAACUGGGAGACUGUCUUUUGAAACUGUAAAACUAGAAGGGCAAAGAGGAAGCUGGAACAAACGGUGUAGUAGUGAAAUGCGUUGAUAUCGUUUGGAACACCAAUAGCGUAGGCAGGCUUCUGGGUGCCACUUGACACUGCUAGGA